rnacentral:rRNA from 1 species
GACGUAGGGCGCGAGCGUUGUCCGGAUUUAUUGGGCGUAAAGAGCGUGUAGGCGGCCAGGUAGGUCUGGUGUGAAAACUCGAGGCUUAACCUCGAGAUGUCAUCGGAAACCAUCUGGCUAGAGUCCGGAAGAGGAGAGUGGAAUUCCUGGUGUAGCGGUGAAAUGCGCAGAUAUCAGGAAGAACACCAGUGGCGAAGGCGCCGCUCUGGGCCGUGACUGACGCUGAGGAGCGAAAGCGUGGGUAGCAAACAGG